CUGUGUUUCAGAAAAUACUGCAGCAACUAUAAACACCUAAAGCGCUUGUUCAGGCUCACGAACUGUCAGCGGAGUCCCCGAACAACCCAGAGUGCUACUAUAGCUGAGCCUUCAGCCGGAUGGUGAACACAUAAAUGGGGGAGCUCUGAUGGUGCUUGCUGGAAGCAGGUGUGUCCAUCGUCUGAUGACAACUUCCAGCAGGAUCAAGCACCAUGUCACAAAGCUUAAAUCAUCUGGUGUUAAACUGGUACCAGAGUGAGUCUUCACCUGUAGCUGCCUGCAGGAUGGAAGCUAUGUUAGAAGAAACUUAAGUUGGCCUUCUGGAGAUAUUCUACCCGGUAAACGCUUGGACUUUAGAGGAAUGUUGCACAUCUCUCUUUGUAAUGUAACACUUAAAAUUGUAUCACAAUUAAACACUGCUCUAUAAGCAAAACUGUUAUUUUCAAAUAGGCUACUGCAGCCCACCAGUUAUGUUAAACAGUGCAUUUGAAAUACUAAACAGCACACAGUAAUUGCAUUUGAUCAUAUUUUCUAAUAAAUUGACAUUUAUUGAUGCUCUUAUGGGAACAACAGGAAAUGUAACAAUCCAAUCAAGCUGUAACUGUUUGGGAUUUGCUGACAAAAUCAGUUAUAGUGUCAUUGUCACUAUAAAUCACAAUUCCUUUCCUGGUUACCGAUAAACUAUUUCCACUAAGACUUCUUUGGAUAAAUGUUUGCUACAAGCUAAAAUAUUCCUCAUGCAUGUCUGUAAAAACAACAGCCUAAUGCUGGUAGAUAACUUGGCUAAACCUGUAACUAAGGUCAGCUUUGUCAUGGUCCUGAGGUGUUUAGAUUUUUAUUUUCUUUUGUGUGUGUAUUUUGACAAUUUCUUUGCUGUUUAUAAUCAUUUUCUUGUUAUUGGUAGUCGGCCUUUUUCUUAUGAGUUCAUUCUUUUGUAUUUUAUUUUAGUGUUCUUUGUAUAUUUAGUAUUAUUUCUGGUAAGAUUUCUGUGAGAUACUUUAUGUUUCUGCUCAAAUCUAUUGUUAAUUAGUCUCCCUCUUUCAGCUGCUCUGCUUUCACUCUGCCCCAACUGCUCCGAUUCUCGCCUGAUUGCUGUCCUGAUUUGCUUGUCAUUUUUCCUUCCCUAGCUCCAUAUUAAAACUCCUGAUUUUUCUUUGUUCUUAGGUUUCCUCCGUUGCCUCUGUUCUCUGCCAUGUUCCUCAUCUUUCUGCCAUUGUAUUCCAGUUCCUGUGUUUCAUGUUUGA